GAUGAACGCUGGCGGCGUGCCUAAUACAUGCAAGUCGAACGCACAGCGAAAGGUGCUUGCACCUUUCAAGUGAGUGGCGAACGGGUGAGUAACACGUGGACAACCUGCCUCAAGGCUGGGGAUAACAUUUGGAAACAGAUGCUAAUACCGAAUAAAACUUAGUGUCGCAUGACACAAAGUUAAAAGGCGCUUCGGCGUCACCUAGAGAUGGAUCCGCGGUGCAUUAGUUAGUUGGUGGGGUAAAGGCCUACCAAGACAAUGAUGCAUAGCCGAGUUGAGAGACUGAGCGGCCACAUUGGGACUGAGACACGGCCCAAACUCCUACGGGAGGCUGCAGUAGGGAAUCUUCCACAAUGGGCGAAAGCCUGAUGGAGCAACGCCGCGUGUGUGAUGAAGGCUUUCGGGUCGUAAAGCACUGUUGUAUGGGAAGAACAGCUAGAAUAGGAAAUGAUUUUAGUUUGACGGUACCAUACCAGAAAGGGACGGCUAAAUACGUG
rnacentral:rRNA from 1 species